rnacentral:rRNA from 1 species
UACGUAGGGGGCUAGCGUUGUCCGGAAUCAUUGGGCGUAAAGAGCGUGUAGGCGGUCCGGUAAGUCCGCUGCGAAAGUCGGGGGCUCAACCCUCGAAUGCCGGUGGAUACUGUCGGGCUAGAGUGCGGAAGAGGCGAGUGGAAUUCCUGGUGUAGCGGUGAAAUGCGCAGAUAUCAGGAGGAACACCGGUGGCGAAGGCGGAUCUCUGGGCCUUACCUGACGCUCAGGUGCGAAAGCUAGGGGAGCGAACAGG